rnacentral:rRNA from 1 species
CCUACGGGUGGCAGCAGUGAGGAAUAUUGGUCAAUGGUCGGGAGACUGAACCAGCCAAGCCGCGUGAGGGAGGAAGGUACAGAGUAUCGUAAACCUCUUUUGUCAGGGAACAAAGACUGGGACGCGUCCCCGGAUGAGUGUACCUGAAGAAAAAGCAUCGGCUAACUCCGUGCCAGCAGCCGCGGUAAUACGGAGGAAGCGAGCGUUAUCCGGAUUUAUUGGGGUUAAGGGGUGCGCAGGCGGUCUGUUAAGUCCGAGGUCAAAGCCCGGGGUCCACCCCCGGCCCGCCGUUGAAACUGGCAGUCUCGAGUUGGAGAGAAGUAUGCGGAAUGCGCGGUGUAGCGGUGAAAUGCAUAGAUAUCGCGCAGAACUCCGAUUGCGAAGGCAGCAUGCCGGCUCCACACUGACGCUGAGGCACGAAAGCGUGGGUAUCGAACAGGAUUAGAUACCCCUGUAGUC